AGCACAUUUCUUGUAUCGAACUGAAUUUUGCCUUGGGCUUGUCCUGUUGCUGAGAAAUAAGAGACUCUCUAUCCGCAACAGGCGUUGGAGAGAUAUAAAUUGUACAUUUGCUUCAGGGUUUUUCCUCAACUAUCUGUGCCUGGACAAACACAAAACUGCAUUUCUUGGAGUCCUGCCCAUCUGGAGUGGGGAAGCAUCCUGCUACACUGGCAAGACAUCAACCGGACUCUACAGGAGAAUGAACAAAAAGAAUGGCCUCCUAUCCGCGUCUGGAGAAAAAUCACUCACAGGAUUUCAGGUCCGCCGCACACCACGGAGAAAAUGCCUUAUCGGUGCAGCCUGGCCUUGGAAAAAUCCCUACUUAGCUCAAGGGUGGAAGACAGAGUUUCAUUCAUUCAUUCCACAAAUAUUUAUAGAGCACAAAUGAAAUGCUUGGUAUAGAAGCA
rnacentral:lncRNA from 12 species